rnacentral:lncRNA from 1 species
AUGACUCUUUCUUUUCCCUACUUUGAUUUUUUCUCUUUCGCAUCGCAUAUAGGACUUUUAUACACACACUUUAGACAUAUAUAGCAAGCGUGGAUCCUAUGGAGUACCACAGACGUGAAGGGGUGCGAUAACCUUCUCUUCACGUAACCGGCCCCCUUACUCAGUUUUCUUUGGUUCGAGACUUUUUUUUAUUCGUUCCCUCUUGGUUAUGCAGUACUACCUUUCCCUCCUCUUGGGAUAAAAGUACAUAGUUGGCGACUCUAC